rnacentral:rRNA from 1 species
GUCUUUUUGUGUUUAAUAAAAAGUCUGACCUGCCCUAUGUUUAAUAUAAAUGGCCGCGGUAUUUUGACCGUGCGAAGGUAGCAUAAUGAGUAGUCCAUUAAUUAUGGUCUGGAAUGAAAGGUUUUACAAGGAGGAACUUUCUUAUUAUUAUUUAUGAACUUGAAUUGUUAGUAAAAAUGCUAAUAUGUUUCAGGGGGACGAGAAGACCCUAUAGAGCUUUACAUUUUUAUUAUUAUUAGUGGUAUUAAAAAUAAUUAUGUGUUUUGUUGGGGCGACAGUAGAUGUAAACAUUUAUUAUUAAUUCUGUUUUAUAGGUUUUUGAUCCAUUAAUAAUGAAUUAAGACUAAGCUACCUUAGGGAUAACAGCGUAAUUUUAUCUUAGAGUUCUUAUCGACGAUUAAGAUUGCGAC